GGCAAUGUGGCGCUGCGAUCGUUCAACUAUCAUGGGAAUGAUGGGAAGUACAGGCUACGGAUUGGUAUUCUGUUGACUGGCGAACUAGUCUACAGGUAUUUUUUUGUCAGUUUUGGUUUCGCUAGUUUUGCUCCAAGCGCAGUUGCUACAAUCCGCAGUGGGGCAGUGCGGCGCAAAACUCUCGAGCUCUCUGUAUUUGUUCGGUCGCUCGAAGUAGCGAUAGGGUUCUUUAUUCUAUGGCGAUAGCGUGCUGAGCAAGCGACUGGAACGAUGCUUGUGUCGCGGCGUGUUGACGAAGCCCUGACGAGAAAGCGACGGCAUCGUAAAAGGAUGUUUUAGGAUGUUUUAAAACAUCCUAAGCGCAGUGUCCACCAACAGUGACAUCACAGGAAUGACAGGAUCUCUGCCCUUUGAAGUUAGCCCAGCCUUCUCGUCCUGUGGGGCAGCAUGUAUGCAGACCUGAGAGAGACUGACGUUUUGGGAUCUGCUACACCUUUCUCUUCCCUGGUAUGCAGUGAAAAUAAAUUGAAAGUUGAAAUGAAAUAAACAAACAUACUUCUACCCUUGUGUUGUCACUGCUUGGUUGAAACAAAGUCGGCACUGCUCCUUCACGCAGUCGGCGUCGUUGUAGACCACCGCAAAAGUUAGAUUGCUCGAAGUGGGCAGAGCACAGAGCAUGACGUCUGGUUGGAGCAAAGCCUCUCAGACCCAUGGCUUGAAGCCAUUUUUGCAGGAGGAUGGGAUUGUCAAUUGGAAACCUGUUUAUUGAACACAAAAAGUGCAGAAAGUGGUCA